rnacentral:rRNA from 1 species
CCCUAUAGGUUACAGAUGCUGGAAUGCCCUGUAACCAAAAGCUCCGGCGCCCUAGGAUGGAUCUGCGGCCGAUUAGGUUGUUGUUGGGGUAACGGCCCAACAAGCCCGUAAUCGGUACGGGUUGUGGGAGCAAGAGCCCGGAGUUGGAUUCUGAGACACGAAUCCAGGCCCUACGGGGCGCAGCAGGCGCGAAACCUUUACAAUGCGGGCAACCGUGAUAAGGGAACCUCGAGUGCCUGUAAACGCAGGCUGUUCAGGUGUUUAAAACGCACCUGGAGAAGGGGCCGGGCAAGACCGGUGCCAGCCGCCGCGGUAAUACCGGCGGCUCGAGUGGUGGCCACUUUUAUUGGGCUUAAAGCGUUCGUAGCUGGGUUGUUAAGUCUCUUGGGAAAUCUGGCGGCUUAACCGUCAGGCGUCUAAGGGAUACUGGCAAUCUUGGAACCGGGAGAGGUGAGGGGUACUUCGGGGGUAGGAGUGAAAUCCUGUAAUCCUCGAGGGACCACCUGUGGCGAAGGCGCCUCACCAGAACGGCUUCGACAGUGAGGGACGAAAGCUGGGGGAGCAAACCGGAUUAGAUACCCGGGUAGUCCCAGCCGUAAACUAUGCGCGUUAGGUGUAUCGGUGACCACGAGUUACCGAGGUGCCGAAGGGAAACCGUGAAACGUGCCGCCUGGGAAGUACGGUCG